UACAGAGGUCCCAAGCGUUGUUCGGAUUCACUGGGCGUAAAGGGUGCGUAGGUGGUGAGGUAAGUCGGAUGUGAAAUCUCCAAGCUCAACUUGGAAAUGGCAUUGGAAACUACCUUGCUUGAGGGUUUGAGGGGGGACUGGAAUUCCUGGUGUAGCGGUGAAAUGCGCAGAUAUCAGGAGGAACACCGGUGGCGAAGGCGGGUCUCUGGGCCGAUACUGACGCUGAGGAGCGAAAGCGUGGGGAGCGAACAGG
rnacentral:rRNA from 1 species